rnacentral:rRNA from 1 species
AUUGAACGCUGGCGGCAGGCCUAACACAUGCAAGUCGAGCGAGCGGCGGACGGGUGCGUAAUGUCUGGGAAACUGCCUGAUGGAGGGGGAUAACUACUGGAAACGGUAGCUAAUACCGCAUACCAUCAGAUGUGCCCAGAUGGGAUUAGCUAGUAGGUGGGGUAACGGAUCACCUAGGCGACGAUCCCUAGCUGGUUUGAGAGGAUGACCAGCCACACUGGAACGGAGAAACGGACCAGACUCCGACGGGAGGCAGCAGUGGGGAAUAUUGCACAAUGGGCGCAAGCCUGAUGCAGCCAUGCGGGGUGUGUGAAGAAGUGCUUCGGGUUGUAGAGCACUAUCAGCGGGGAGGCGUUACCCGCAGAAGAAGCACCGGCUAACUCCGUGCCAGCAGCCGCGGUAAUAC